rnacentral:rRNA from 1 species
UACAGGGGGGGCAAGCGUUGUUCGGAAUUACUGGGCGUAAAGGGCUCGUAGGUGGCCAACUAAGUCAGACGUGAAAUCCCUCAGCUUAACUGGGGAACUGCGUCUGAUACUGGAUGGCUUGAGUUUGGGAGAGGGAUGCGGAAUUCCAGGUGUAGCGGUGAAAUGCGCAGAUAUCAGGAGGAACACCGAUGGCGAAGGCAGCUCACUGGGACGGUACUGACGCUGAGGCGCGAAAGCGUGGGGAGCAAACAGG